UCCCGCAUGAUUGCAACGAAGUCGGGCUGGAGUUUUCAGUUCGAUUGCUCACCCGAAUCGAACGGCAGGUUGUUGGUUCGAAUCCAACUCGGGGAGCCA
rnacentral:tRNA from 1 species